GGGAUGUCACGUGGAGAUUACGUCAGACACGCAGACGAUUUGCGAGUGUGACCACCUGACAAACUUUGCCGUUCUAAUGAGCAUACUCCCAAAUACGGAGCGGAACUUCGCUCUUGAUCUGGUAUCGACCAUCGGAAUGUCCAUCUCGACCAUUGCCGUCUUCCUAACUAUCGUAACAUAUGGCUGCCUGUGGAGAACGUUGCGUUCUGGCCGCGCCAUCUUGCUCAUCAACCUAUGCGUCAGUCUGUUUCUAUCCGCGCUUGCCUUCCUACUCGGGAUCGAGCAGGUGGA